ensembl:lncRNA
CCAAUUUCAUUUAGAAAGCCAGGAAUGCAAAGUGGAGCAACGCUACAGUGUGUUCAGUGGCCGUGUGAGUGGUCUCCCUAAAGCAAGUAUUGCCUUACUCUGGGGCCCAGGAGGGAACAAAAGCAAUUUUGAUAUUUUUUUUGUUCAGAUCUAUUGUAGUCUAGUUUAAUUUGCAAAUAAAUGCCUCAGACCCAAGAAAUCCAGAUCUCCACUCUCAGUCUCACCACGACCACCAUCUCAUUUUGUGAUCAUGAUGAAAUCUGAAUUAAGAUAUCCUUUGGGUAAUGAUGAUGCAGUUUAGCAAACCCUGUGUGGUGCUGAGUUUUUCAAAAUUGCAACUCUCUUCUAUUUCUUCUGCCCUGCAUCUGUUAAAAUCAUUGCCAGUAUCAUUUUUGACAGCUUGGAGCUGUAUCUGAACACCUGUUAUUCAAACCCCAAAGAAACUGUCAGAAACGAGAAGCAUCGUUUAAAUAAAUACAGAUGACAACAACAGUGUGGAAAAGAAGCAUAAACAGAAUUUGUUACGCUUUUAUUUUCUAGAAUGCUACAACUGAGAAAUUCCUGCAAGGAAAAGCAGGUCUGGGCAGCCACCACAGGUGCUUCAUUAAUCUGUUGCAACUGACACUUACAGAUUGACGCUUAACGUACUGCCAUGAGUGGAUGAUUACAAUCCCCAUACCCUGAAGGGCAUUUUCAUGUUACUUCUUUAUGAAUAAUCAAGAAUGGAAAAGAUGUAAAGAUUGGACUCUGAAGUAAACAGAAAGCUUACUCAACUCAUACCACGACACUCAUUAGGACAGGUGUUUGAAAUACGCCUGCAAUGCAUGCUUUCUCUUGAAGAUGGACUGCACUGAGCUGCCUGGAGGAAUGAAACCUGCUUGUCCUGGCUUUUCUCAGUGUACUUUGAAAGACGUGGGAGGGGGACAUCAGGGUGCUCAGAUCUGAGUACCUUCCCUUGUUAGUGCUGUAAGUUCUUUCUUAGCAGAGGAAACUGUGACCAAGUGAAUAUAUGUCAUUAUCUCAAAUGAAACAUGAUUGUAUUUCCUAUUUUUUCUAACAGCACAGAGGUCAUUCUAGACAUUUCCAAUCCUGUAAGUUCAUCAAUUUCAUCAGUUCUGACCUUUCCUUCAUUUUUUGUUACUGCAACUGUAUCUCAGCUUAGGCUAGCAGAUGCUUCACUUGUCAUUUUUGUCCCUGGCCCAUGGAGACAACUGAGAUCCAGGCACUCAAAAACCCAGCACGGACGUGCACUCUGCUGUUCAAGCUGGUUCCAGGCAUACAAGGAUAUAAGCAUGAAAAUGAUACUGUUCUAUACAUAUCUUUUACCAAAAAGUAAUCUCAAUCAUCUUUGAACUGGUGACCAAAAUUCUAAGCAUGUAAUAAUUUAACUUGUUUUAUUACAUAAUAAUAUUUUAAGAUAAAUCAAAAUUUGUUAAAAUUUAUUGAGUAAAAUUUCCAGUGGGUGUUUUUUCCUCCAGGAAAUGUAAGGAGUUCUGCAACAUGAAAAUGGGUUGAAAAGCCUCUAUCUAGAGACAUACCUCUGUGCCACAUAUUUUCUUCAGAGCUACCGAUAUGUUCUGGUGUUACUUAUGAUAGAGUUUCCAUCCAGAACUUGUCUGAAAUCUCACAGCAAACUGACAGAAGCUGUGUGAGAAACUGAUCAAUAAUUCCCAGUAUAAUUUGUGAUAUACUGCUGCAUGACAGUGAAAUUAAAAUGUUAUUGAAUUAGAGAAAAUAUUUGAUUGGUAUAAGUGAGUAUUUGGCCAGAAUUUAUACCUGUGGAAAGCUGGAUAAAGGUGGUAUCACAGUAGUUUUGAAGAAGUAAAAAACAUUUUUAAAAUAGUUCUGUUUACUGAAUACAAAGGAUUUAACGCUAUCUUAAAAGUGAAUAAAAAAUAAAAAGCACCUCUCUCACCUGACUCUCAGACAGGGUGAUGCUGAAGAGGAGGUGCCACCAGGGCUGGCAUGCAUGCUGCAGGCUGCUGAGGAGGGCAGGAGUGAAUGGUACUGGUGCCAUGUCUGCUGGCCACGUCUACAUCUCGAGAGGUGAAAGGCAGUGUGGAGCAUGGAGCUCAGCAGAAACCUGACCGAGUUUUGCCUGUGGUCUUUUUUUUUAAUAGGUCUGCUUCAGACUUAUACAGAUUUCACUGUAAUUGCUAGUCAUGACAGUCUUCAAAUGCUGAAGGUGAUCAAAGGCAUCAGCUUAAAAAUACAAAGCUGGCAUUACAAGGAAGUGAUUUAACCUCUCUCGGUAGGCAGGUGUGUGUUGGGAGCAGAGAGGGGUUCAUUGCUUCAGGCAUCUAAAUUGCAGCUGUAGUGAAAAGCAGCAAUUUGUCUAAAUCCAUGACAAAAAUCCUUCUAAACUGUCCUAACAGAUCUGCUCUGUAACCUGACUGUACGGGGAAAGAAUAAUUUUAAAAAGC